rnacentral:lncRNA from 1 species
ACACAAAAACAUUUAUGAUGGAAUACGAGUAAUGGGAUAAUGUAUUAUUUAACACUCGUUUGGUUUUCGACAUUUAAACGCACUUGAAAAUAUUAUUCAUUUAUAAAUAAUUUAUGUAAUUCAAAAAAUAUAUGUAUUUAUUUUGACCGUUUGUUCGAGUUCUUACUAAAGUAAAAUUGUGUUUUCUUAUUUGGUGGAGAUCUAAUUUUGGCCAUUAAUUACACGUGGUUGGUGGGAUCUAAUUUGGAAAUUACCGGAGUAUUACCGGAUCUAAUAUUAGAGUAAGCACAAUUGAUAGAUAUAUAUCAAUAAUCAUAAGGAGAUCUAAUUUGGAAAUGAAUCAAUCAGCCAUUAAUUACAUAUGGUCAAGGACAACAUACACAACUGUUACUCAAUUUUCAUUUGGGUCUUUCGUAUUCACUCGUCAUGGGACUGUUGUGAAUAUCAUCAAUUUGUAUUUAACAGAGUAUUAUGAAUUUAACAUCUGAAUUGCACUGCACUUUGCUGUUAAUUCCAACUUCAGGUGAUAAAAAAUGAAGAAUAAUUGGACAAUAUACUCAUACCAUUCAUCAUCACAACCUUAUAGAAUUAUAGACUCCCUCCAUUCCCAAAAAACAAAGAAAUGCAAAAAGCAAAACGAUCUGCAUAAUCUUCAUCACACCCACACAUAAAAUGACAUCAACCGAUUAAAAUUAAGUUCGGAAAGAGAACCAAACAGAAAUUUCGAAAAGAUUAGUAGCUCAAACCUAGCUCAUCAAAUCAUCUCAAAAUCAACUCCAAAAUUCAAAAAUUCUGCUAAAUUGCGAAACUAAAAAAAACUAAAAUCUUGCUUCAGAUCAUUCCAUUAGAGCUCGCAAAUGACUAGACUUUAUUUCCCAACAAAUUUCAAGUAGAUUAGACCAAAAUCAGUAACAAAAAGCUCAAAAUAAUGAUCAAAUCUCACUUCAAAAGUAUGAUAGCGAACUUCGUAUCGCGGAGGUAAUUUUUAUCCAAUUUCUUCAUCAAUUCAGGUGAUGAGGAAUAAGCGAGGAAAGACUGAUGUGGCUUUGAUUUUUAUACAAAUCUUAAUUAGUGGCCGGGUUUUGAUUUGGGGUAUGUUUUAUCAUGGAAGUUUCGUAUGGCGUAGAUGAAAAAAAUGGAAUUAGGAGAUGAGAGAGAGAAAAGAGGAAGAACAAAUAAUUUUUUUUUAUUUUUUUAUUUUUGACACCUGUCAGUCACAUCAAAAAUAAAU